CUGGAGGAACACCAACGGCGAAAGGCAGCUCACUGGACAAUGACUGACGCUGAGGGACGAAAGCGUGGGGAGCGAAAGGGAUUAGAUACCCCUGUAGUCACGCCGUAAACUUUGUGCACUCGCUAUUGGGGGAUUCGACCCCGUCAGUGGCCAAGCUAACGCGAUAAGUGCACCGCCUGAGGACUACGGCCGCAAGGCUAAAACUCAAAGGAAUUGACGGGUCCCCGCACAAGCGGUGGAGCAUGUGGCUUAAUUCGAUGCAACGCGAAGAACCUUACCAGGUCUUGACAUGUAGCGGACCGGGGCAGAGAUGCCCCUUCUCUUCGGAGCCGCUUCACAGGUGCUGCAUGGCUGUCGUCAGCUCGUGUCGUGAGAUGUUCGGUUAAGUCCGUCAACGAGCGCAACCCCUGUCCUUAGUUGCCAGCAUUCAGUUGGGGACUCUAAGGAGACAAUCCCGCUUUUGCGGGAGGGAAGGUGGGGAUGAUGUCAAGUCAGUAUGGCCCUUACGGCCUGGGCUGCACACGUGCUACAAUGCCCGGUACAAUAGGUCGCUACUCCGCGAGGAGAUGCUAAUCCAGAAAGCCGGGCCCAGUUCGGAUUGGAGUCUGCAACUCGACUCCAUGAAGUCGGAAUCGCUAGUAAUGGCGCAUCAGCAAUGGCGCCGUGAAUACGUUCCCGGGGAUUGUACACACCGCCCGUCACAUCAUGAAAGCCGGUUUCGCCCGAAGUACGUGCGCCAACCUUCGUGGAGGCAGCGUCCCACGGUGAGGCUGGUGAUUGGGAUGAAGUCGUAACAAGGUAACC
rnacentral:rRNA from 1 species